rnacentral:rRNA from 1 species
UACGAAGGGGGCUAGCGUUGCUCGGAAUCACUGGGCGUAAAGGGUGCGUAGGCGGGUCUUUUAAGUCAGGGGUGAAAUCCUGGAGCUCAACUCCAGAACUGCCUUUGAUACUGAGGAUCUUGAGUUCGGGAGAGGUGAGUGGAACUGCGAGUGUAGAGGUGAAAUUCGUAGAUAUUCGCAAGAACACCAGUGGCGAAGGCGGCUCACUGGCCCGGUACUGACGCUGAGGUGCGAAAGCGUGGGGGAGCAAACAGGG